rnacentral:rRNA from 1 species
AGUGAACGCUGGCGGUAGGCCUAACACAUGCAAGUCGAACGGCAGCACAGUAAGAGCUUGCUCUUACGGGUGGCGAGUGGCGGACGGGUGAGGAAUACAUCGGAAUCUACUUUUUCGUGGGGGAUAACGUAGGGAAACUUACGCUAAUACCGCAUACGAACUACGGGUGAAAGCAGGGGAUCUUCGGACCUUGCGCGAUUGAAUGAGCCGAUGUCGGAUUAGCUAGUUGGCGGGGUAAAGGCCCACCAAGGCGACGAUCCGUAGCUGGUCUGAGAGGAUGAUCAGCCACACUGGAACUGAGACACGGUCCAGACUCCUACGGGAGGCAGCAGUGGGGAAUAUUGGACAAUGGGCGCAAGCCUGAUCCAGCCAUACCGCGUGGGUGAAGAAGGCCUUCGGGUUGUAAAGCCCUUUUGUUGGGAAAGAAAAGCAGCAGGUUAAUACCCCGAUGUUCUGACGGUACCCAAAGAAUAAGCACCGGCUAACUUCGUG